UGUAUAUUUCCGCGUCCAGACUCUUUGUGGUCCUGCAAUGGCAAAUUAUCGAGUUGAACGCAGAGAUGUACAUC
rnacentral:pre_miRNA from 1 species